UACGUAGGGGGCAAGCGUUGUCCGGAUUUAUUGGGCGUAAAGAGCGUGUAGGCGGCCAUACAGGUCAGCUGUGAAAACUCGAGGCUCAACCUCGAGACGUCGGUUGAAACCGUAUGGCUAGAGUCCGGAAGAGGAGAGUGGAAUUCCCGGUGUAGCGGUGAGAUGCGCAGAUAUCGGGAAGAACACCCGUGGCGAAGGCGGCUCUCUGGGACGGUACUGGACGCUGAGACGCGAAAAGCGUGGG
rnacentral:rRNA from 1 species